UACGGAGGGGGUUAGCGUUGUUCGGAAUGACUGGGCGUAAAGCGCGCGUAGGCGGGCUGGAAAGUUGGGGGUGAAAUCCCGGGGCUCAACCCCGGAAUGGCCUUCAAAACUCCCAGCCUUGAGUUCGAGAGAGGUGGGUGGAAUUCCGAGUGUAGAGGUGAAAUUCGUAGAUAUUCGGAGGAACACCAGUGGCGAAGGCGGCCCACUGGCUCGACACUGACGCUGAGGUGCGAAAGCGUGGGGAGCAAACAGGAUUAGAUACCCCCGUAGUCC
rnacentral:rRNA from 1 species